AUAAAACGUUUUUCCACUUUGAUGGCUACAGUAUGCCCAUAAAAUGGCCUAUUUGAUUGGACAAAGUAUUCAGAGGAACGUUGCGGAUAUCUUAACGGAAAAAUUGUUUUAUUUGUAAUGCAAAUGUUGUAAUGUAUUAUAUCUAUUUGGAAUAAAUUUGCAAAUUUGCAAAAUUGA